UACGGAGGGUGCAAGCGUUGCUCGGAAUUAUUGGGCGUAAAGGGUAGGUAGGUGGUCUCAUUUGUCUGGGGUGAAAGCCUUGAGCUUAACUCAAGAAGUGCCUCAGAAACGGUGAGACUAGAGUCCUGGAGAGGGUCGUGGAAUUCCCGGUGUAGCGGUGAAAUGCGUAGAGAUCGGGAGGAACACCAGAGGCGAAAGCGGCGACCUGGACAGGUACUGACACUCAACUACGAAAGCGUGGGGAGCAAACAGG
rnacentral:rRNA from 1 species